rnacentral:rRNA from 1 species
UACAGAGGUGGCAAGCGUUGUUCGGAUUUAUUGGGCGUAAAGGGUCCGUAGGCGGUUCGGAAAGUCAGAUGUGAAAUCCUACAGCUCAACUGUAGAACUGCAUUUGAAACUUCCGGACUAGAGUAUGAGAGGGGUUAAGGGAAUUCCCGGUGUAAGGGUGAAAUCUGCAGAGAUCGGAAGGAACACCAGUCGCGAAGGCGCUUAACUGGCUCAUUACUGACGCUCAGGGACGAAAGCUAGGGGAGCAAACGGG